AACAGGAAUUCACACUUUUGCGCUUUUGAGAUAUUUUUAAUUUUUUUUAAAAAAAUAGAGAACGCAAAAUGCUUUCCGAAUCUUUGUUUUUUUCCUUUAAAUGAAUAGUUGUUUAUCGGUUCUAAGCUCUUGCCUAGUAAGGCUUUUUUGCUUUCACUUUAAUACUCAAGGGAGGAUGAUUCUUUAUUGCUAUAAAAGUUUAGAUUUUAAAAACAGCAUCAACCACUGUAGUGUACAAAUGAAUUUCAUUUGCCCGCCAAGCAGUUA